UACGUAGGGGGCGAGCGUUGUCCGGAAUCAUUGGGCGUAAAGCGCGUGUAGGCGGCCCGGUAAGUCCGCUGUGAAAGUCCAGGGCUCAACCCUGGGAUGCCGGUGGAUACUGUCGGGCUCGAGUCCGGAAGAGGCGAGUGGAAUUCCUGGUGUAGCGGUGAAAUGCGCAGAUAUCAGGAAGAACACCCGUGGCGAAAGCGGCUCUCUGGAACGGUACUGACGCUGAGACGCGAAAGCGUGGGGAGCGAACAGG
rnacentral:rRNA from 1 species